GUGCACCAGGCGAGAAAACUUCACACUGUGCGAAAGCACGAUGAGGGAAUCCCAAGUGCUUGCACGUAAGUGUAAGCUGUUUCUCUGUUUAAAACGCAGAGAGAGUAAGGGCUGGGUAAGACGGGUGCCAGCCGCCGCGGUAAUACCUGCAGCCCAAGUGGUGACCGUUAUUAUUGGGCCUAAAACGUCCGUAGCCGGUUUAAUAAAUGCCUGGGUAAAUCGUGUAGCUUAACUAUACGAAUUCCGGGUAGACUGUUAAACUCGAGACCGGGAGAAGUUAGAGGUACUCCUGGGGUAGAGGUGAAAUUCUGUAAUCCUAGGAGGACCACCAGUGGCGAAGGCGUCUAACUAGAACGGGUCUGACGGUGAGGGACGAAGCCCUGGGGCGCAAACGGGAUUAGAUACCCCUGUAGU
rnacentral:rRNA from 1 species